rnacentral:rRNA from 1 species
AUGAAUGGCGCCGGCGCGAGCCAGCAGCAACAGCAGCAGCAGCAGAGGCUCCGGCAGCAGCAGCAGCAACAGCAGCAGGCCCUCCUGAUGCAGCAGGCGCUGCAGCAGCAGCAGUAUCAGUCCGGUGUCCUCGCUGCCGCCGCCGCCGCGGCCAUGACUCAGAUGGAGCCUGUUUCAAAUGGCAAUCUCCCACCUGGGUUUGAUCCAUCCACAUGUCGCAGUGUGUAUGUAGGAAACGUACACCCUAAUGUCACUGAGAGCCUUCUGAUUGAAGUUUUCCAGGGCUCUGGUCCUGUGGAAAGAUGCAAGCUCAUCCGGAAAGAAAAGUCUUCCUUUGGGUUUGUUGACUACUAUGAUCGGAGGUCAGCAGCUCUUGCAAUAAUGACCCUUCAUGGGCGUCACAUAUACGGUCAAGCAAUCAAGGUGAACUGGGCGUAUGCGAGUACACAAAGGGAGGAUACAUCUGGGCAUUUCCAUAUUUUUGUUGGUGAUUUAAGUUCUGAAGUGAAUGAUGCAACUCUUUAUGCCUGUUUCUCAACAUAUCCUUCUUGCUCUGAUGCUCGAGUCAUGUGGGAUAAUAAAACUGGACGCUCCAGAGGUUAUGGCUUUGUCUCCUUCCGUAAUCAGCAGGAAGCUGAAACUGCUAUAACUGAAAUGACUGGUAAAUGGCUUGGCAGUAGACAAAUAAGGUGCAACUGGGCAACAAAGACCAACGCAGAAGAGAAACAAGAAACGGACAAUCAUAACGCAGUUGUACUAACAAAUGGUGGUUCCAGUAAUGCAGCAAUGGAGGCAAACCAGGAUACAGGAAGCAAAGAAAAUCCAGAGAACAACCCUGAUUUCACAACGGUGUACGUUGGCAACCUUGGACACGAGGUUAAUCGGGAUGAGCUUCACCGCCAUUUCUACAACUUAGGGGUCGGGGCUAUUGAGGAAGUUCGUGUUCAACAGGAAAAAGGGUUUGGAUUUAUAAGGUACACUACCCAUGGUGAAGCAGCAUUAGCUAUUCAGAUGGCCAACGGAUUGGUCGUUCGCGGCAAGCCAAUCAAGUGCUCAUGGGGCAACAAACCAACCCCCCCUGGGACAUCUUCUAAGCCGCUGCCGCCCCCGAUUGCUUCUUAUCAACCCGUAGCAAUGGCUGGCGUGCCGCAAGGCUUCACAGCAGCCGAACUUCUAGCCUAUCAGAGGCAGCUUGCAUUGAGCCAGGCCGCGGCAGGGCAGAUUGCCGGCCAGCACGGCCUCGCGGGCCAGGUAUCCGCGGGGCUACUCGCUGCUGGCUCCCAGGCCCUGUAUGACGGCUACCCGAACCAGACGUCGGCGCAGCAGCUCAUGUACUACAACUAG